rnacentral:rRNA from 1 species
AACUAUGAUCUGAAGUCAAGUGGGACUACCCGCUGAACUUAAGCAUAU